UUUAGUUUUUGGAUACAAUGUUUUGACUUUUCGUCUUAUUUAAAUUUUUUUUGUGAUUAAUGUUUUUAUUGUUACUAGGUGAUAAACAUCAAUAGUAGUAUAGUACUUUAUGCAUGACUAAUCUUUUAAAUUUUUUAUACAAAUUUUUCAAAUAGGACAAAUGGUCAAAUGUUAGACACAAAAAUCGAAAAAUGAAGUUAUU
rnacentral:pre_miRNA from 1 species